UACGAAGGGGGCUAGCGUUGUUCGGAAUCACUGGGCGUAAAGGGCGCGUAGGCGGCUUUGUAAGUCGGGGGGUGAAAGCCUGUGGCUCAACCACAGAAUUGCCUCCGAUACUGCAUGGCUUGAGACCGGAAGAGGUAAGUGGAACUGCGAGUGUAGAGGUGAAAUUCGUAGAUAUUCGCAAGAACACCAGUGGCGAAGGCGGCUUACUGGUCCGGUUCUGACGCUGAGGCGCGAAAGCGUGGGGAGCAAACAGG
rnacentral:rRNA from 1 species